CCGCCGCAAAUUUUUCUCACUUCUAGACCAUUUUCUUCUCUAAUUCGGAGUCUGUUCGUAAAACAUCCAUAACUUACGCAUACGAACAACGAUUUCGACGUGCCAUAUAUCAAAAUCAAUCAGAAAAAAUUUUGGAUCUGUAUGUCCCCAGUGUAGGCGGGCUCAAAAAUUUUAGAAUCCCCAAAUUCGCCUAUGAAGUUUGAGUUUUCACCUCCUUAUGUUUUUUCACAUUUUUUGCAAUCUUCAUAAAAUUCCACAGGCCACAUCUUUCACUUGUUUAAGCUCAAAUUUUCUAUGGUUACUUCUGUAGUGCUCCUAAGUAAAAGAAAAAUAUCAAAAAAAUAAAAAGAAUUGCUGGGUUUUAGAUCAUGUUGUUCGGAAGACGGAUCGAUUUAUGUCUCGUUUCCACCAAAUCGAGAGUUACCAGAUACUUUCGGAAGAUCGGGCCACCCUUGUUCUCAUCAAGUGGCAAUCAAAGCUUCACUAAUACCGUUAGGUUCACAUCUAUCCUAAGUUUUCAGUGUUCUUGUGUUCG
rnacentral:lncRNA from 1 species